UCUGCUUCUUAAAAACUGCUUUGCCUCCCCGCUACUCCUCAGACUCAGCUCUCAGAGCCUCGGGAUUCUUUGCAGAAACAAAGCUGCUGUCUGAGAGGGGGAAAUGUGCAAAUUUGUGAGUGACUUACUGCUUAGGCACGUUAGGUUUUCCAUCAGGAGAGUGACAAUUAAGGGCCUGACCCCCCAGCUGGGGAAGCUUCCCCUUACGCACUUCAUUCUCCCGAAUGCUGAUUUAUUUAUGAGCACCCCCGGAUCAGGAGGAUCGUGUUCCAUUUACUACAUCUGGUUUAGAUUUCCAGCGCAACACCUUUCAAGUUUCCCCCCUUAAAUGCGCAUGUCAGAUGGAAACGCUGCAGAUGAGAGACGCGGCGCUCAGCCACGAGAUGCGGUGUCAUUCAUGCGUUUUGUGGUAUUUUUUGAAGGGAAGGAGGAACUACAGAGGUCCAGGCUGACGGCACGCGGCCGUGAGGAGAGCCUUCAAACUGAGCAGCAUCAUGCAUCUCUGCUGCUGAGCUGCCGUCGUACAGCGGGGAGCCAGCAGAGGGCGCUGUGGCGGAGUGAGCCAGGCCUGGAUAGUGGCUGCUGGAGCCUCGGAGGAACUGCGAGCCAAAGCAGCUGUUUAUGCCCCCAUUCUGGGGCACUGAGGUGAAAAGCUGAGAGGUGAGCAGACCUGGAGCUGGCUCCGGAGGGGGAGCUGUGGGCCAUGGUGCCGGAGUGUGCCGGCAUCUGGAGACUCGACCAGUUAUCAUGAGGGGUGAGCAUCGACAGGCAGGAGGACGUGUUUUCGGAGUAAUCUGCUGCGACACAAAGACAUCGUCACACAUCGCAGCGAAUGACACUCUGAGGAAGAGGCGGUGACAGCGAUGAACUGCGUCUCUGGGAAGGAGUGGCUGGUGAUCAUCCUGCGCGGGCCUCCGACGCGCACGAUGUGGAUGCGCGGCUCGUAUUUGUGCAGAGAGUUUAACAUGAUCUGGAAGCAACACCACCCCCGUUAACGAACGGCUCUCGUUCAGCGCGUGCCGAGCAGUGACCCCCCUCACCUCACCUCACCUGACCCCCGCCGUUGAGUUUGUUGGUGAGUUUGACUUUACUGAAGGAGACCGGCGCCUUCAUCCAGUGCGCGCCGAAGUUUGGAGAGUCCGGAUGGAUGUAGACGCAGCUGGGAGUCUGGGGCUCCGGUUUGCCCCCGGGGACCCACUCCCCGUUCACGUACUUCCACCUGUGGUUGUCCGCCGACACAAAGUCCAGCAGAAAAGAAUACAUGGCGUUCGGGUCCAGUCCGGACACGCUCACUUUCAGAACCGGGAACAUGCGCCUUCAAAGACAACACCAAAAACCAAUGACUGGAGGUGGUUUUACGCACGCGCGUCUGCUUCCAUAGCCGGGGCUCACCUGCCAUUCUUGGUGACAAUCAUCUCGUUUGUGAGCUCCUUGAACUUCUGCCACAGGACGCUCUCCUCCAGGGACACCCUCAGCUCCCUCUCCGUGGGGUCCCCCUUCUCGCUGCCGGCCUGCAGCUCGCUCUCCACGGCGCUGAGGAGGUGGUCCACCCGGUACUGGACGGCCUUGCUGGGGCACUCCCGCGCGCCUGACGCCAUCCUGCUCACUCAGCUGAACCAAACUCCCGUCCACUGUCCCUGUUUUCAGGUCUCCAGCCUCAUCAGUGCCGGGCAUGAGGAGGAGCAGCGGGAUAUAUGAGGAGAGGAGACGCACGGGUCACGUGCUUGGCUGGCCUUCCCUUUGAUGUGUGCGGGCUGGAUGAGGAUUGGCCGUAUCUGAGCCUCACAGGAUGACAGCGAUUGAAAGAAGCAGUUUAACCGUCUUUAUUGCAUCUACCUGUAAAUAUUGACACUUAGAUCAAAGCCACACCUGCAGAAGCUACUGUAGACCAGCAUGACUCUCAGAAGGAGACUUCUUGCUUCCUCUUCCUUUUUAUUGAUAAAAAGACUCUAUCCUUACAAUGUAAGCCGAGAAAAAUGUGCUAAUCCUGUUCUUUUUACAACUUUCUUAAUUAGUUUACAACUAGUCUCUCAAUAACUUUAGAUGCAGAAAAUACAAACUUUUUGUACAAUGGAAGAAUUUAAUUCUAAGGAAAAAUGUUAUAUUUUGUGUCUUGACAGAAAAAAAGUUUUUUCAACACAAUUAGUUUAAGAAAACACGUCUUAAUGACCAGAACUUUUUUUUUUAAUAAAAUGGGAAUUCUUGGUAAAACUAUUUUCUUAUCAAAUUGAUGGAUUAUUUAUAUUUAUUUGCUCAGUCACACCAAUUUCACAUUUUUUAACUUAUAACGGCCUGUUUUUGCAGUCUAAGUUUCACAUUUUUCACAGAAUAUUAAGAAAAAUUGACUUUUGCAUGACAUUUUCUUUUACUUUUUACCAAAAAAAUCAAAAGAACAAAAAACAUAAAGGGUCAACGUCUGCAAUGUUUUCAUUGAAAACUUGUAAUUAAAGUAUAGGUUUGAAUGUUUUGGUCCAAGAGAAGUCUGCAAAAAGAGGCAGUCUAAAAAUAGGAAAAAGUACAAUAAUUUUAAGAGGAAAAUCAUUAGAAAGUAGUUAAACCGUCUGAAGGUGCAAGAAACAGAAGAAAUCUUAUAAGAUAUCCAUUUCUAGACACAAGAAUUCAAAAAGCUUAAAAAAGCUAAUUGUUAGAUCAAAUUGAAUGUUAUGGAGCUUGUUUUCUUUGGCUUUUUCUAACCAAAUGGUUUGUAUUUCUUUGUGAAGCUUAUUACAGUUCCUUUUGAUUUCAGUAACUGAUGUAAUAAUGAGUGUAAAUGACUUAUUUUAGAUGAAUAUGUGAAGAAAAUAAUAAUGCAAUCUUACAAGUUGCCCCAUCUCAAUAAAUCUUCAUAAAAUCUAAAACUAGCUCUUAUUCUUAGAACCUAAAUCGAAUAUUUUGCUUCCAAAAUAAUGAUUGUCAGUCUGGCUUUUAUGGAACUUAUCAAUAAGAUAAAUUGAACCAAAAACAACAAAUAACGUUUGAGUUUUUUGUGUCUUAAAUCAAGUUUCAAAUGUCUAAAAAAAAAGUUUUAAAACUUUGUUAGGAUGAUUUAAGUAUGCAGCAUUACUGCAAGUGAUUCACAUCUGAUUGGCACAGCCAUCAUUUUUACAUACAGAGCCUCAGUGACACUGUUGCUAUGGUGGUUGCCAAAAAAUAUGUUUACCUUUGUGUGUAAAUCAUGUGUUGCAUAUGUGCACGUUUCCUUAGUGUAACUGAAUCCUGGGCGCCGUGUCCGUCCUGCCAGCUCAGAGUCUGUUUCUCUGUCCAACAGUCUGGAGUCGAGUUCACAGCAAGCAGAGAAAAACAAACUGCAGCCUGUUUAAAGAGCAGUUAGAAGGGUUUCUGCGUUACUGAGAUGAUGGGACAGUGCUGCUCUGAAGUGGAUCCGCUUUCUCCUGACUGAUCUUUUUAAAUCUCACAGCUUGCAGAUAUGCACCGUGGUAACUGCGGCGUGAGAAAACUUGCGUCAUUUUUCACAGCCCCAGUGUUUCAUUUGGUGCCUGUGUUUCUUAUUCCCAACACCCCACCUGGUGCGGACCGUCACACCAGGCCGCUUCCUGUUGCUGAAUUUACAUCCCUAAUCUAUUCAUGUGCCAGCAGGAUUUACCCAAAGGACAGCCCUCUGGCUUCCAGAUUGAAGCACAUGGUAAAGUAAAAUGAAUAAAAGCUACCAGUUCACCAAAAAUCCUCUAGGGGGGGCUUGAUCACAGUCACAUAUCAGAUUUAACAACACAAAGAAAAGUACUUAAAGCCUAGUUGCAAAGAGUUUGUAUUUUUGUUAAAGAGGUUAAGAAGGAUCUCUAGUUGGGUUUUUAACCUCUUAUGCUUCAUUUCAGUUGAUUUUGAGAAGAUUGAAGCAGUAAUUAAUGUAUUUUUCAGUUGUACUUACUGUAUGUGGAUGUGAGAUCAUUUAAAUGUUUAUGUUUUAUGACUUUUUUCUCAAACUUCCUGUGACUUUAUUUAUGCAAACAAAACAGUAAAAAAAAGGCUCAUGGACUACAGGAUGGAGUCACACCAUUCACUUUUACUUACUAUUCUCUGAACUAGUGCAAAAACCAGCAACCUGUGGCCCUGGAGCGAUACUCUUUACUGUCUUUUCACUUCGCUUUGAAGAAAAUGCCAACAAUUUAAGGACCUACUCCAGUGAAAAUUGUGUUUCUCUAGCAAUUUUCUCAAGGUGGAGGAUUUAUAUUAAAGAAUUUAAGAUCAAAACUGCAUUUCUUAUUAUUAAAAAAAAAUAUAUCAUGAUAAAUCAGGAGCUGAUCAAAAGACGAUAGGAGUCAGACUUUGAAGUUUUGGUUAAGUUGUCAUAAAUUUUAAUGUUUAUAUUCUUAAAAUGUCAGACGAAUGAACAAACAGAUGCACAUAUUGAUGCACAACAGUGUCUAGUUGCUGUUAGAGGCAAAGAUGUUUAAAUGAAUUAUAUAGGCUACAAUACGUUUUUAAAAAACUGCAUUCUACAUCAAUGUUGUCAUGUUUAUAUUGGAUAGUAAAAGAAGAAAAAAGAUGACGGUGCACUAUCUGUAAAUCUGCAGCAGUGCUUAUGUCAAAAGUAAAAGAAGUGAAAACUGUUAUAUAUUGAAAACUAUAUCACUUUAUUACUAUAUUGAUCAUUAUAGUGCUUUUAUUGAAAACUUUUAUCUUAGAAAUGAAAGUUUCAUGACCAAAAUAAAAUAAAGAGUGUUUUUCCAAAUGUGAAGUGAAUUUGUGACUCUCGCUGUGUUUUAAUUAGUAAGAAACCAAAUGGCUCUUUUAACUUUAAAGGUUACAGACCUCAGAAUUAGAAACGGCUUCAAAUGUAACAUUUUUGUUUCUGUGACUUUCAUAUAAAUUACAAAAUAAUGACGAUACAUUUGAAUUAUGUGAUGGAGAUCAGAGCUUCUCCACCUUUAUCCUAAAUAAAGAAACAGAAAACUUCAAGACUCAAAUGAAACACAGAAUAGAAGAACGAAGGAGUACGUGACUGAAACUGGAAAAACAGUGAUGGUGGGACAGGUCUCUCCAGGAGAACAUUUCAGGGCUGUGGUGAGUAACGGCGACUGGCGCUGGCCCGUCUGUUUGCCUUCCUCCGCUCUUCCUCCAGCCAGGUUCAUCUUCUGUUUGUUCAGGGAUAUUUUGACACAGGAGUGAGAGGAAAAAGUGAAUCCACAUGCUUUUCUGUGUGUGCUCAUCCUCCACACCUCAACAUAACCUCUUCUCCAGGAUCCCACUUUUGUUUGCAUCAACAUUUCUCCAGACGCAUCAGUGUUUGAACCAGAAUCCUUGUAGUUUUUCUGACUUAUUUGAUCAACACGUUUUAAUUUCUACUAUUUUUCAUAAUUUGUUUGUGUUUCACCUGUAAUUUGGGAAAAACUAAUGAUGAUAAAACUGUCUUCUAGGACAUAGUUUCUGCAGAACGGCAGUAGUUCAUCAGACAUUCACCUCUGAGUUAUGGGUAGGACUGUCUCCCCUCUCAUAACUGAGAGUUCUCUGUUUACAUUCUCUCCCGCUAACUUACAGCCCUUCAAACCCCCAACCUGACAUUACCAAAGCCAAAAAAAAAAAAAAA